AUGAACCACCGCACAAAUCACAUACUCACCUCGAGCCGCGCCUCCAUUAACGCGCAACCAGACAUCCAUCACGACCCUGAUGGUGUCUCCGAGAUGAUCUCUCUGGCUGCGACAACCUCCUUUUGCCUCCAGGAUCAUAUCUCGUCACUAAACACGCUUUUUGGGUUUUAUUUUGUUUCUCUUUUGGUUAUGAUUUUAUUUCAUUGGAGGAGUAAUGUUGUGGUUCAAAGUGAAUUUUCUUUUGAGUUUUUUUUAAUGAUAGAGAAAUGA